rnacentral:rRNA from 1 species
UUAAAUUAUUAUAUUACUUUUAUUAAUUAUUGGUUUUAAAUUUUAUAGAAAUAACUUUUUUAUUAGUAAAUUUUAUUGAAAUUAUUAUUAUUUAGUUAUAGUUUAUAUUACUGUUAAGGAAAUUUUUUAUUUUAUUUUAAGUAGAUUUCUUUUAUUGUACCUUUUGUAUCAGGGUUUAUUAAAUUUAUAUUAAUUAUUGUUAAUUUUCCCGAAAUUAAAAGAGAUAUAUCUUUGUGAUAGUUUACGUUUUAUAGUGAUUUUUAAUUUAGAUAUAGGGGUUAUAUGCUAUUCAAUUUUAAAUAUCUGGUUGUUUAAUAAAUUAAUUUAAUUAAUACUAUUGAUUUAAAGUUAAUUUAUAAUUUUAUUUUAUUUAAUUUCGAUAGUUAAGAUUAUGGGGGAUAAGCUCUUUAAUUUUUCUAUAAUUGUAAGUUUUAUUAAGAAUUUAUAGGCUUGAUAACAGCCAUUAUUUAUUUCGUUAUAGUUAAUUCUUAUUUUUUAUUUAUUUAUUUUUUAUUUAGGUUUUUAUUAAGCUUUUUUAUUUAAUUUUUUAUUUUAAGUAAUAAUGAUAUAAUUAGUAGUUUUGUAUAAUUGAAUAUAGGAAUUCGGCAAAAUUAGUCUUCGCCUGUUUAACAAAAACAUGUCCUAUAGAUUUAUUAAUUUUAGGUCUAGCCUGCCCAGUGAUUUAUUUUAAAUGGCCGCAGUAUUUUGACUGUGCAAAGGUAGCAUAAUCAUUUGUCUUUUAAUUGAAGGCUUGUAUGAAUGGUUGGACGAGGGAUUAACUUUCUUUAUUUAAUUUAUUUGAAUUUAAUUUUUGGGUUAAAAAGCUUAAAUUUUUUUGCUAGACGAGAAGACCCUAUAGAAUUUUAUUAUUUAUUUUUAUUUUAUUUUUUUGGUUAAUAAUGUGUAAGUUAAAUAUAAAUAAUUUUGUUGGGGCGAUAGUGAAAAUUAUAUAACUUUCAUUUAUUAAUUUUCAUUUAUUAAUGUGAUUUUUGAUCCUUUAUUAUGGAUUAUAAGAUUAAAUUACCUUAGGGAUAACAGCGUAAUUUUUUCGGAGAGUUCUUAUUGAUGAAUAAAGUUUGCGACCUCGAUGUUGGAUUAAAGUUAGUUUUGGGUGUAGAAGCUCAAUUUACUAAGUCUGUUCGACUUUUAAAUCUUUACAUGAUCUGAGUUCAGACCGGCGUAAGCCAGGUUGGUUUCUAUCUGCAAUUAUUUAUUUAUAAUUUAGUACGAAAGGACCAAUUAUAAGUAAUAUUUAUAUUUUCCUUUGAUUAAUAUUA